rfam:Ictidomys tridecemlineatus contig094785, whole genome shotgun sequence.
GGGGAUGUACCUCAUUUGGUAGAGUGCUUGUCUUGCAUGCACAAGUCCCUGGGUUCAAUCCCCAGAACCACCA